GACGAACGCUGGCGGCGUGCUUAACACAUGCAAGUCGAACGGAAAGGCCCUGCUUUUGUGGGGUGCUCGAGUGGCGAACGGGUGAGUAACACGUGAGUAACCUGCCCUUGACUUUGGGAUAACUUCAGGAAACUGGGGCUAAUACCGGAUAGGAGCUCCUGCUGCAUGGUGGGGGUUGGAAAGUUUCGGCGGUUGGGGAUGGACUCGCGGCUUAUCAGCUUGUUGGUGGGGUAGUGGCUUACCAAGGCUUUGACGGGUAGCCGGCCUGAGAGGGUGACCGGCCAAAUGGGGACUGAGAUACGGCCCAGACUCCUACGGGGGGCAGCAGGGGGGAAUAUUGCAAAAGGGGCGGAAGCGUGAUGCAGCAACGCCGCGGGCGGGAGGACGGCCUUCGGGUUGUAAACCGCUUUCGCCUGUGACGAAGCGGGAGUGACGGUAAUGGGGAAAGAAGCACCGGCUAACUACGG
rnacentral:rRNA from 1 species